GACAGAGGGUGCAAACGUUGUUCGGAAUUACUGGGCGUAAAGCGCGUGUAGGCGGCCAUGCAAGUCGGAUGUGAAAGCCCUCGGCUCAACCGGGGAAGUGCACUCGAAACUGCAAGGCUAGAGUCUCGGAGAGGAUCGUGGAAUUCUCGGUGUAGAGGUGAAAUUCGUAGAUAUCGAGAGGAACACCGAUGGCGAAGGCAGGUCUCUGGGCCACUACUGACGCUGAGAAGCGAAAGCGUGGGGAGCAAACAGG
rnacentral:rRNA from 1 species